UCAAUUUAGUUGAAAAUAAUUAUGUUUGAUAUUUUAUUCAUGAUCUCCUCAUAAAGAGAUUAUUACAUUAUUUCACAUAGAAUUUUCUACUAUUAGAAACCAAAAUUUAAGGCCAUAAUUUAACAUAAUGAUAAUCAAAGUAAUAUCUUAAUUGGAAUAUUUAUUUUUGCUAAUAAUUAAUUGUUGCUGCUACUGAAUCCACCUUUGAUGCUAAUU
rnacentral:misc_RNA from 1 species